AUCAUGCAGGGAAAAAGUGGAGAGAAUACCAAAGUUGUUCUUAUCCAUUUAGAUUUAGAUGAUAAUUAGGUGUACAGUCUCUCUCUCUCUCUCCACUUGUUCAUUGUUUCUUUCCACUUUGCAGUUAUUGGUGGUUGAGAAGGGUGUGGUAGUUUUGAUGAGUUAUUGCAGUUUUUCUGGAGUGUAAUUAGUCUAUCAGAAGUUUGAUGGACAGGCUAAGGGUACUACUGCUCCUUUUUCCUUUUCGAAAAUGAAGUCUAAAAGAACUAAUCUGAGAAUAAUUUUCCCGUUGCAAUAGCUGAAAAUAGUGGACAUAGUGCAUCCAUCUGGAUUCUGGAAAUGAAAUACUGUUUGGAUUUUGACUAAUGUAAUAAAAACAAUGGUCGUGUUAUCAUUUGGCUUUUGCAAUGGCUGAAGCUUGAGGAGGGUGGUGGAGUCUGCCUUUUCAUGAUAGCUGGUAAGUGAUGCAGGUAUGCUUCGAAUCUCUAUACAAAGUUGAGUCCUUUAAGGCUGCUUACUUUCCUAGUCGGAAUAUUAGCUAGAGCCGCAUGAUACCACCUCAGGUCUUGAAUUGAGAAUUGAGACUAUGUAGUUAUUUUAGAGAAGAUGUGUAUCCGCUCAAACUGGAGACUAGUCAGGAGUCGGGACUAGUGGGCGAUAGACAGCUCAUGCUCAUCCAAUUACUGUGGGAUUAUUCAGAAAGAGCUGCUAGUGCUACCUGCUGUGCUGGGUUGGGCAGGGCAGAAUGUGGGCUCAUUCUUAUCCAGUUUUGCUGUUGUCUUUUAGUUAAUUAAUUUAUAAUUUCAUAGUUCUUGACUUCUUGGGUGCAGUCCACCAUCACGUACCUUCAGUAAAUUAAUCGAUGGUGAUCACGGCCGUUUUAGGCACCAUAUGAAUAGAAACGGUUUGACUUGUGGUUUUCCUUAAUAUUUUAGAGAACACUUCACCGUUCAAAAAUUUCUCGUUCUUUAGGCUCUGUUUGGAAGGAGUACAAAUAAAAAUAUUUAGAGUGCAAAACCUUGUAUUUUGUAUUUUGUAUGUAUUCUUCCCAAAAGAAAUUUUGAGAAGUUCUAAAUCAAAUGAUUUUCAGGCACUAGGUAAUGCUGUAAAAACCAAAAUUACCUCAUCUCAUCUGGACUUUACGGCUUUACCCAAAAUAAAAUAAAAGGCUUAAGCAACUUCACUCUCAGUCAAAGUCUGUUUAAAGAAUAAAGAUAGAUGUCAACGCAUCCCCAAAUAAAGCACCCCCUUUGUCUCUCUCUCAUUCAUUCUCAUUGCGUGACGGAAACAUGGCCGCUGUAAUGCUUUCUCUUCUUCUCCGACUCGUCCUCUUUCCUUUAAUGGCUUCUGCAGCUGAUCUACUUCGGAACCCAGACUUCGAAUCCCCACCGCUCAAUAUAACCGCAGGACCCAAUACUCCGUUGGUGCAAUUAACCAAAGCCAACACCAUUCCUGGCUGGACCUUCAACGGCACCGUCAGUUAUGCGACUUCUGGUGGGAACGGGCACGGCAUUCAGUUGGGUCGGGACGGCAAGAUCAACCAGACAUUUAGAGCUAGCGACAACUUCUAUUACUAUGUGUUGACCUUCACGCUUGCUCCAGGGAUCGGCGACAAUUGUUCUCAAUCCACUGCCUUCGUAAAUGUUUCGGUGCCUGGUAGCUCCAGACUCUUCUACCUGAAAAAUCGAUACGGGAAGGAGAAAUGGGAGAGCCAUUCAUGCCAUCUAGGGGGCUGGGGUGUCUCCGAGUUCGACAACCUCGUCAUUCGGAGCCAAUUCAACCAUUCUGGUUCCAAUGCUACUUGUGGGCCUGUGGUCGAUACAUUUAUUCUCAAAGGGAUCGAGACGCCCAAGUAUUUUGAAGAUAAUAUCUUACCCAACGGUGGAUUCGAGGUUGGACCGGCUUUUCUCAACAACUCCACCGAGGGGAUUCUACUAGAUGAAGAUCCAGAUGAAUCGUGGUCAGUGCUACAGGAUUGGUCUGUGAUGGGAACAGUGAAGUACAUAGACCGAAAGCACUAUGGAGUCCCACAAGGCCAGGCUGCGAUCGAGAUCGUUUCGGGUGCUCCGUCGGGAAUCAAAACGGUUCAAAGACUCCAGCAGGGUGCCGAUUAUAGCCUAACAUUCAUGAUGGGUGACGCCAAGGAUUCGUGCGUGGGAGAGUUGAUAGUAUGGGCCCAAGCAGGAAACACGAUUCAGAAUUUUACGAUGCGAAGCGACGGGACAGGCUCAGUCCGAAAUUGCUCCCUCACAUUUAAGGCCGAUUCAAGUCUGACCCCGAUAAGCUUUGUUAACUUCAACGAGAGCCGGAAUAGAGAGCUUCUUCCCUGUGGUCCGGUCAUCGACGAUGUGGUUCUUCUUCGUACUUCUGCCAGUGAGGGGAUACAGAGAAAGCAAUUUACAAUAUCCUGCUUCGUUUUUCUAUUUUUAGUAAUUCUUUAAUUUAAGUCGUUGGGUUGCCUUCCUAUGGUUGUUAUUAUUCUCUGUAACUGUAAUUCUCUGUGCCGUAGUCCAAGUCUCUAUUGAGGUUUGACUUUGUUAAACAUGUGCUGCUGCCAACUCAACAUCUUGUGAAAUCGCAUGAAUUAGCUUGUAACAACUAAGAAAUGAUUAGUCAACUGGCGAAACAACUUUCUAGUUUCUACUUCUUCUUAUUCUUCUUCUUCUCCCUCUCUCUCUCUCUCUCUCUCUCUCGAUACACAGACAGAGACCGACGAAGCGGCCGGAAGUACUUCUCCCACUUCUCUUCAUAGCAGCGGCACAUGCAGGUGAAUUAACGGCCGGCCCCAAACAUAUAUAUAUUUUCUCUCAUUAAUUUUGAAUUACUGCUUGCGACUAGCAACGCUGCCUUCCGACUUCGAAAAACCACCAUCAAACAUGCCGGCUAAUUCCAGUUCUGACCCUUUUGUGCUUUUGAACCAAAAUAACACCAUUCCCGGAUGGACCUUUUCCGGUACAGUGCAGUAUGUAACGGCAGGGCCCAACGUAUCAUUGCCGGGGAACGGACACGCCAUCCAAUUGGGUCAAGACGGCAAGAUCAACCAGACCUUCAAAGCUAAUGGAGACAUCCUGAAUUACUUACUUACCUUCACCCUUGCACCAGGCGGAGACAACUGUUCUACCACCUCCAACGUUCUCGUCUCAGCUCCCAACAGGUCCUCGCUCUUCUCCUUGGAGUAAAGAUAUGGCAAGGAAAAGUGGGAAAGCCACGCUUGCUACUUGGGUAGUUGGGGAUACGACGGAGAGCCCAUCAACCUUGUCCUCCAAACUCAACCAUCAGAAGCUGAUCCAAAUAUCACUUGCGGUCCUGUGAUUGACAAUGUUGUUCUUCAGAGCACCGGAACUCUCAUUCAGGCCACUGGCAACCUGCUGCUCAAUGGUGGAUUUGAAGUGGGACCAGCUUUCCUCAAUGAUUCCACUGAGGGGAUUCUACUUGAUGCAGAACCAAGUCUCACUCUAUCAGCAUUACAACAAUGGUUUGUGAUAGGGACAGUGAAAUACAUAGACUCCAAAAACUACAAAGUUCCACAAGGCAAAGCUGCAGUUGAGCUUGUUUCGGGAGCUUCAGCUGGGAUACAAACAGCAACAGAGCUCAAUAAGGGUACGACCUAUAACUUGGAAUUUGUACUUGGUGAUGCAAAUUUCAUCGUGAGGGUGCAAGCAGGAUCUACGUCAAUGAACUUGACGAUGCAGACCAACGGAACCGGCUUGGCCCAAAGCUUCCUCAUGACUUUCAAGGCAGAUUCAUCUCUAACAAACAUCAGCUUCGUUAGCCUAACCACGAGUCAGACAAGAGAUUGUGUUUUGUGGUCCUGUGAUCGACAACGUGGUACUCCGUGCUUCAUUUGGGCUCAAACCACAAAUGCAGAAUUGGAUGCUGGUUUUAUGCUUGGUUUUCAUCGUAGCUGUUGUAUAGAUUAUUGAGAAGUAGAGCUAAAUCUGAAUUUGUUUUACCACUUAUUAUUAUAUAUUACUGUUAUUUUUUUUACAAGUUGUUCCUUGUAAGUUGUAACUGAAUAAUUUGAUUUUGAGAACUUGGGUAAAGCAUAGCUGGCCUGAUUCCUUCGCCUGUAGAGAUUGAUUGGAUCUCUUAGGUCCAAAAGCCUUUUAUAAAUUGCACUCCUUCAAAGGUUCUGAUGGAUUGAUUGAAAGAGAA